rnacentral:lncRNA from 1 species
CUACAGUCCAUAGGGUCACAAAGAGUUGGACACGACUGAAGCAACUUAGCACGCAUACAUUAAUACUUCCACCUAUGUUGAUUACAGGCAUUCUUUAAAAAUUCUGAUGCUGGGUUCAGCCAGGUUUGCAGAGACCUGCACAGCCCUGGAGUACUCAGCGUUUACUGAAACAUUGGCUGGAAUAGUAAGUGAUUAAUUAUAACUGUACACUGAAUGCUCAUGAUGUCAGGCAUGGCGCUAGGAGCUGGAAAUCACAUCAACCAAGAAAGACAGAAUUCCUGCCUUCAAGGAGCUUCCAGGCUACACACCAAGGGAUCCAGAGAUGCAAACAGGCAGAGGCAGUGCAUGGCCAUAAUUGGGUGAGAAGACAGAUGAUCCCAGAGAAACCGGGGGCAGCACUCACCCAGGUGGAAUGUGGACACUGAUCACAGGCUGUCCUACGACACAGCCACCAGCUUUGGGGCACAGGUGUCCUGAUUACACAUCUCCAGGAUUACUUCACAACAGCCUUCUUUUUCACUAACUAGACCAGAUCAUUGGCUUCCCUGGUGGCCCAGUGGUGAAGAAUCCACCUGCCAAUAUAGGAGACUUGGGUUCGAUCCAAAUUAUGAAAGAUCCCCUGGAGGAAGAAAUGGCAACCCACUCCAGUAUUCUUGCUGGGAAAUGCCAUGGACAGAGGAGCCUGGCGGGCUCCAGUGAUUACCAAACAGCUGUGAAACCUCGAACUUCAGUUCUUUGAAUCCACAUGCCUCCCUGCAAAACGGGUCCUGCCUUGCACAAUUAGGGGAAGAAUUAGAAUUAAUCUACUCAAGCCCUUACACAUAAUAGGUUUUCUUUCGAUAAAAGAAAACCUUUCACUUAAUCAGCUCACCUCCAUGCUCCUUCACAGCCUGAAGGUGGUUAAAAUACUGAAAUGAGCUGAGAAAGUCAGGAACACUUUCCUUGUACAAAUGACAAACCUUCAAAGUUCUUUUAAAAGUUCCUUUUGUUUGCUUUUGCCCACAAAGAACCUCAGGGAAAGGUCAGCAAGGACCCAACUGUUAAUCAAAUCCCAUGAACAAAGGGGGCAAAGUGUCAUGGAACCGAACCCCCAAUAGUGACUAGAGAGAGAGUCUCUACCGGACAGUGGGAUCUACCCUUAAAAACUACAAAGAGAAGAUCUAGGGAGCAUGUGUUCUCCAAGAGAGUAACUUUGAAGGAGACUCAAGAUCUCACGUGGGACCGUGUCUGCAAAGAGCUUCAAAUCUCAUUAAAGCAACGGGGCUAUGAGAAAUAGUCAACGAAAGGACGGAGUCCAAAGCUGCAGGCUCCAGGACCUUGGGGAGCUCCAUGCCAGACUGGAGCUGUUUUCAUGGAUGGAUCA